rnacentral:misc_RNA from 1 species
AAGUCGUAACAAGGUUUCCGUAGGUGAACCUGCGGAAGGAUCAUUAACACGUGAUACUCACGUAUUAACAACCCACCGAGAAUUUGUUAUUAUCCUAGUUUAAGAGGCAGGUAGGCGAAGUGAGGAAAUGCUAUUGGUCGCUCGUCCCUGUAACAGGGGGCCAUACACCAUGACUCAUUAGUCGUUCCAUGGUCCGCCCAGGAGCUUGCGCUGACAACUAGUUGACGAGUAACGACUGCUUAUUAAGCCUGUAGCAUAGCUUGCAGAUCGUUAUGACCUUAUUAAAACCCCUUUUACUAUUAUUUACUGAUUUGUACGUUUAUAUGAAUUCCUAACUUUUGGUUGGUUGUAGUUUAUAUAGAUGUCGUAUAUUACUAAUACGAAACAACUCUUAGCAACGGAUAUCUUGGUUCUC